rnacentral:lncRNA from 1 species
UUGUGGAGUGAUUGAUUAAAACCCCAUUUGAUUUUGAUGAGCUCAAAGCAUUUGAGUAUAUCUUUUGAUUACUAAUGAAUUCAAUUGAGUGUUUCAGUGAAAAUCCUGUCUAAGUGUCCCAAGACUUGGUUCAUAAUUUUUGGAUAAGUUAAGGAGUCUGUUUGAACCAAUGUCUGAGACUCGAGUCGACUCCCGAGUAUCACGAGUCGACUCCAAGCGUAUCAAGUUCACUGG